AUGAAAGAUUACAUGUAAAUCAAGAGUUUUAGCCAAAAUAAAACUAUGAACUAAAGAGCAGGAGGAAUUCCAUUAAUAGAUUCAAGCCUAAAAGAAAUUAAACCCCUAAAUUGUUCUUUUCUAUGGCACUGUGAACAAACCACAGGUCUCCCCAAGUCUCAACCACCCUCCCUCCAAAAAGCCUCUGUGAGUCAGUUUAAGCUGUGACUGACAUUAUAAAUUUUUCUAAAGCAAUUGAAAUGGAACAAAACCAGAACAUCAAAAUGCUCUCCAAACCCAACCUGACCUGACUUGAUAUUUCGCUUGGUUUGACUUUCUAGUGUAAAAAAAAAAUUUGUUUGAGUCAUACUUAAAAUGCACCAGAGAGCUCUGCUGUUUCACAAAGAAAUCCUAAGGUGGAUGCUUUAGAAAAACAAAAACUUUUGUGAAAUAAAUAAUUAUCCACUGACCUAUUUAUUUUGAAAAUGUCAUAUUCUGGGGUCUACUUUGUUUAAGCUACCUGAAUAUCUACAGGUUUUGAUUAUGAUGAUGUGGCAAAGCAAGGUAGAGCUAAUACUAAUUUGGUCCCCAGCAUCUUCAACUAUAUCAAGACAACCUUGCUGAUUAUUUUAAGUUAAAAAGUAAUUAUGGAAUUUGGGUGAUAAAUGGCAUAAUAUAUCCAAUUUUGCAGAGACUGAAAGCUAGAGAGGUGGACAUCUCACACUUUCCACACUCAGAAAUUUUAGGAACUUCAAGAAGCCAAAAUUAGGGCAUUCAUUUUUACAGCUCUGCGUCAGUCUCCACUAGGGUUAUGCUUGUAAGAUAUGAGCGCUCACUCCUCCUUUCUCUCUCCACAGGAGGACCGGGCAGCCUUUUCUGGAGAGCAACCUCAGCCAAGGAGCGGAUGCCAUAAUUGCUUUCCCUUUUACCUCACCACUGGGACAGCUCUGAACACUUUAUAGAGUUUGCUCCCUCAAGCUUGCAUUCCUUACUUCUCAUAGAAGCAAAAUACUGCAUUUCUUUUGAUCUCAUAGAAAUGAAAAGGACUCUCUACGCCAUGGCUUUUGGUCUUGGUUUCUGUUUCUUUGAAUUUGGCUCCUUGGUGGGGUCCUGGGGAUACUUGCACUUCACUAUUGUUCAAGCUUUCAACUGAACUUAGAGGUGAAUUUAAAUCAAUCCCCUAACAACAAAGAGAUGUGUGUCAGGAGGGGUAGUGGUGACUCAGGGACAGAUAAAUGUAACUUCUCUAAGGUGUAAAGCCAUAUACCCUCAUUCCCUAGAGGGGAACAUAUAAAAAGCCACUAGUAGAAUGUCUUCUUCUAUCAAUUUCACCUGUUGAUCUAAUUGUAGGUAGAGAUCCAUAAGGAACUCAUUGAGGGUUAGGGAGAGAUUCGCUACUCAGAUACUGAUUAGGCAAGAAAUGUAACACCAAGUGAAGAAAUGGAGUCCAAGAAUUUUCCUAAUCCUGAAAAAAGUAGGGAGUGUGGAGAGAGGAGUUGAUUAUAUAAAACAGAAGGGCAGAUACAUUGCAAAAAAUGUUAAAUUUUACUGCCAUAUAUGUGACAUUCAAAUUAUUUAUAGCAGGGAGACCUUUAUUUCAAAACUAGCUGUCUGAUCUUGAGCAAAUUACUUAACCUGGCCAACAUAUGCUUCUCUAAUAUGAUCAAUUAGGAAUUAUCUGUACUGAACAGUGUUAUUUUGUGGAUUAAAUGGAAAUGUAAAAACUGGUUGACAUAGUAUCUGAAGCAUAAUGGACUCAGAGAAUAUUAGUUCUCUUCCUUUCCAUGAACUCAACUGUUAAAACACACAAGUGUAUAUAACAGUUCUAUCACUUUAUUUAUUUAUUUAUUUUUCAGAUGGAGUCUCACUCUGUUGCCUAGGUUGGAGUGCAGUGGCUCAAUCUUGGCUCACUGUAACAUCCACCUCCCGGGUUCAAGCAAUUCUCCUGCUUCAGCUCCCCCAAGUAGCUGGGACUACAGGCGCCUGCCACCACACCUGGCUAAUUUUUUUUUUUGUAUUUUUAGUAGAGAUGGGGUUUCACUGUGUUGGCCAGGCUGAGUCUCAAGCACCUGACCUCGUGAUCCGUCUGCCUUGGCUUCCCAAAGUGCUGGGAUUACAGGCAUGAGCCACCACACCUGGCCCUAUCACUUACUUUUGAAGUACCUAUUAAAUCCUAGGUGCUUCACAGAUUUUGCCUACAUUUCAUCAUUUAAUUUACUGUAUAAAUUAAUUCAUCUUUGUCUUAUUCUGUCAGGUUAAUGUUAUCAUUCUCUUUUUACAGAUUUAUUGAGACACAGAGAAAGCCAAGUAACUUGCUCAUAAUUUCACAGCUAGUAAAAGGUAGAAUCAAGAAUUGGAGCCAUAUACUUUGAUACAAAAGUAUUAUCACACUCUUUUCUUUUCCUAAGCCUGCUGACCAAGCUUGCACAGUUCCCUCUGGGGAAAAGAUCUAUCGACCUACUUUAGAUUUUAUCAAAGUGAAAGAGUAUUUUUUAUUCAUUCAAUGAUCAAGAUUGAUUUAUUUUUCUGAAUUACUUCAAGAAACCUUGAGAUAUCUGAUAAUCUAGAAAACAUCUGGUCAUUUCUUCUUUCAUAAGUCCUUGCAUUUCUGUUGGAGUGGAAUUACUGGAUUAUGAGGUAUGAACAUGCUCAGUUUUAGCAGAUACUGCCAGUUUUCCAAAGUGGUUAUAUGCUUCACACUUCCACCAGCAAUGAGUUCCAGUUGUUCCACAUCCUCAUCAGCAAUGUUAUUGUGAGUCUUUUUCAUUUUAGCCAUUCUGGCAAGUGUGUAAUGGUAUCGCAUUGUGGUUUUAAUUUGCAUUUCCCUGAUGACAGUGACGUUGAGCUUUUUUUCUUAUGUUUAUUGGCCCUUUGUAUAACCUCCUUUGUGAAGUAUGACUUUGGCUGUUUUUCAUCAAAUAGGCUAUCUUACUGAUGCGUAAAACUUCUCUGUACCUUCCGGAUAGGAGCCCUUUGUCAGUUUUAAGGAUUGUAAAUGUCUUCUCUCUCUUAGUGUCUUGCCUUUCCCACUUUCUUAAUGGUGUCAUUUGAGAAAUAGAAUUUUUCGUUCUAAUAUAGUACAAUUUAUUAAUAAUUUCUUUCAAGGAUAAUGAUUUUUAUGUCCUGAUUAUGAAAUCUUUCCUUCCCUUAGGUAAUGAAUAUACUCUCCAGUAGAAACGUUAUUGUUUUGCCUUUCACAAAGAUCUACAAUCCACCUGAAAUACAUAUUUGCAUGUACUCUGACGUAGAGAAUGUUUCAUUUUGUCCACGUGUAUCCAAUUGUCCCAGCAGUACUUAUUAAAAAGAUUAUCGUUUUUCCAUGGUUGUAUAGUGCCACCUUUGUCUUAACUCUAUAGUCCACAUAUGUAGACUCUACUUUUUUUCCCUUGGUUAUCUUUGAUUCCUUGAGAAAAUAUCAU
rnacentral:lncRNA from 10 species